UACGUAGGUGGCAAGCGUUGUUCGGAAUUAUUGGGCGUAAAGGGCGCGUAGGCGGCUUGUUAAGUCGGCUGUGAAAGCCCGGGGCUCAACCCCGGAGGGUCAGCCGAUACUGGCAGGCUAGAGUACGGAAGAGGUAGCUGGAAUUCCCGGUGUAGCGGUGAAAUGCGUAGAUAUCGGGAGGAACAUCAGUGGCGAAGGCGGCUGCCUGGCCCAAUACUGACACUCAGGUGCGACAGCGGUGGGGAGCAAACAGG
rnacentral:rRNA from 1 species